CCUACGGGUGGCAGCAGUGAGGAAUAUUGGUCAAUGGACGAGAGUCUGAACCAGCCAAGUAGCGUGAAGGAUGACUGCCCUAUGGGUUGUAAACUUCUUUUAUAUGGGAAUAAAAUGUUCCACGUGUGGGAUUUUGUAUGUACCAUAUGAAUAAGGAUCGGCUAACUCCGUGCCAGCAGCCGCGGUAAUACGGAGGAUCCGAGCGUUAUCCGGAUUUAUUGGGUUUAAAGGGAGCGUAGGUGGAUUGGUAAGUCAGGUGUGAAAGUUUGGGGCUCAACCGUAAAAUUGCAGUUGAAACUGGCAGUCUUGAGUACAGUAGAGGUGGGCGGAAUGCGUGGUGUAGCGGUGAAAUGCUUAGAUAUCACGAAGAACUCCGAUUGCGAAGGCAGUUCACUGGACUGCAACUGACGCUGAGGCUCGAAAGUGUGGGUAUCAAACAGGAUUAGAUACCCGGGUAGUC
rnacentral:rRNA from 1 species